rnacentral:rRNA from 1 species
CCUACGGGAGGCAGCAGUAGGGAAUCUUCCGCAAUGGACGAAAGUCUGACGGAGCAACGCCGCGUGAACGAUGAAGGCCUUCGGGUCGUAAAGUUCUGUUGUUAGGGAAGAACAAGUGCUAGUUGAAUAAGCUGGCACCUUGACGGUACCUAACCAGAAAGCCACGGCUAACUACGUGCCAGCAGCCGCGGUAAUACGUAGGUGGCAAGCGUUGUCCGGAAUUAUUGGGCGUAAAGCGCGCGCAGGCGGUUUCUUAAGUCUGAUGUGAAAGCCCCCGGCUCAACCGGGGAGGUCAUUGGAAACUGGGAAACUUGAGUGCAGAAGAGGAAAGUGGAAUUCCAAGUGUAGCGGUGAAAUGCGUAGAGAUUUGGAGGAACACCAGUGGCGAAGGCGACUUUCUGGUCUGUAACUGACGCUGAGGCGCGAAAGCGUGGGGAGCAAACAGGAUUAGGAUACCCUGGUAGUCCACGCUGUAAACGAUGAGUGCUAAGUGUUAGAGGGUUUCCGCCUUUAGUGCUGAGUUAACGCAUUAAGCACUCCGCCUGGGGAUACGGUCGCAAGACUGAAACUCAAAGGAUUGACGGCUGAGACGCCGAAGGCACACAGGGGUANAGG